rnacentral:rRNA from 1 species
GGUUAAGCGACUAAGCGUACACGGUGGAUGCCCUGGCAGUCAGAGGCGAUGAAGGGCGUGCUAAUCUGCGAUAAGCGCCGGUAAGGUGAUAUGAACCGUUAUAACCGGCGAUACCCGAAUGGGGAAACCCAGUGUGACUCGUCACACUAUCAUUAACUGAAUCCAUAGGUUAAUGAGGCGAACCGGGGGAACUGAAACAUCUAAGUACCCCGAGGAAAAGAAAUCAACCGAGAUUCCCCCAGUAGCGGCGAGCGAACGGGGAGGAGCCCAGAGCCUGAAUCAGCAUGUGUGUUAGUGGAAGCGUCUGGAAAGGCGCGCGAUACAGGGUGACAGCCCCGUACACAAAAGCGCAUGUGUUGUGAGCUCGAUGAGUAGGGCGGGACACGUGGUAUCCUGUCUGAAUAUGGGGGGACCAUCCUCCAAGGCUAAAUACUCCUGACUGACCGAUAGUGAACCAGUACCGUGAGGGAAAGGCGAAAAGAACCCCGGCGAGGGGAGUGAAAAAGAACCUGAAACCGUGUACGUACAAGCAGUGGGAGCCCCACCACUAAGCCAGUGGUGAACUCCACAUACGCAUCCUUUGCUGAGGAUACGGUUAACGGAGCGAAAGCGACGUUCAACCGCAAAAGAAGCAGAGGGGGCUUAGUGGUGGGGUGACUGCGUACCUUUUGUAUAAUGGGUCAGCGACUUAUAUUCUGUAGCAAGGUUAACCGUAUAGGGGAGCCGUAGGGAAACCGAGUCUUAACCGGGCGUUAAGUUGCAGGGUAUAGACCCGAAACCCGGUGAUCUAGCCAUGGGCAGGUUGAAGGUUGGGUAACACUAACUGGAGGACCGAACCGACUAAUGUUGAAAAAUUAGCGGAUGACCUGUGGCUGGGGGUGAAAGGCCAAUCAAACCGGGAGAUAGCUGGUUCUCCCCGAAAGCUAUUUAGGUAGCGCCUCGUGAAUUCAUCUCCGGGGGUAGAGCACUGUUUCGGCUAGGGGGCCAUCCCGGCUUACCAACCCGAUGCAAACUGCGAAUACCGGAGAAUGUUAUCACGGGAGACACACGGCGGGUGCUAACGUCCGUCGUGAAGAGGGAAACAACCCAGACCGCCAGCUAAGGUCCCAAAGUCAUGGUUAAGUGGGAAACGAUGUGGGAAGGCCCAGACAGCCAGGAUGUUGGCUUAGAAGCAGCCAUCAUUUAAAGAAAGCGUAAUAGCUCACUGGUCGAGUCGGCCUGCGCGGAAGAUGUAACGGGGCUAAACCAUGCACCGAAGCUGCGGCAGCGACACUCAGGUGUUGUUGGGUAGGGGAGCGUUCUGUAAGCCUGUGAAGGUGUGUCGUGAGGCAUGCUGGAGGUAUCAGAAGUGCGAAUGCUGACAUAAGUAACGAUAAAGCGGGUGAAAAGCCCCCGCUCGCCGGAAGACCAAGGGUUCCUGUCCAACGUUAAUCGGGGCAGGGUGAGUCGACCCCUAAGGCGAGGCCGAAAGGCGUAGUCGAUGGGAAACGGGUUAAUAUUCCCGUACUUGGUGUUACUGCGAAGGGGGGACGGAGAAGGCUAUGUUGGCCGGGCGACGGUUGUCCCGGUUUAAGCGUGUAGGUGUGUGUUCCAGGUAAAUCCGGUUCACUUUAACACUGAGGCGUGAUGACGAGGCACUACGGUGCUGAAGCAACAAAUGCCCUGCUUCCAGGAAAAGCCUCUAAGCAUCAGGUAACAUCAAAUCGUACCCCAAACCGACACAGGUGGUCAGGUAGAGAAUACCAAGGCGCUUGAGAGAACUCGGGUGAAGGAACUAGGCAAAAUGGUGCCGUAACUUCGGGAGAAGGCACGCUGACACGUAGGUGAAGUGAUUUACUCAUGGAGCUGAAGUCAGUCGAAGAUACCAGCUGGCUGCAACUGUUUAUUAAAACACAGCACUGUGCAAACACGAAAGUGGACGUAUACGGUGUGACGCCUGCCCGGUGCCGGAAGGUUAAUUGAUGGGGUCAGCGCAAGCGAAGCUCCUGAUCGAAGCCCCGGUAAACGGCGGCCGUAACUAUAACGGUCCUAAGGUAGCGAAAUUCCUUGUCGGGUAAGUUCCGACCUGCACGAAUGGCGUAAUGAUGGCCAGGCUGUCUCCACCCGAGACUCAGUGAAAUUGAACUCGCUGUGAAGAUGCAGUGUACCCGCGGCAAGACGGAAAGACCCCGUGAACCUUUACUAUAGCUUGACACUGAACAUUGAGCCUUGAUGUGUAGGAUAGGUGGGAGGCUUUGAAGCGUGGACGCCAGUCUGCGUGGAGCCGACCUUGAAAUACCACCCUUUAAUGUUUGAUGUUCUAACGUGGACCCGUUACCCGGGUUGCGGACAGUGUCUGGUGGGUAGUUUGACUGGGGCGGUCUCCUCCUAAAGAGUAACGGAGGCACGAAGGUUGGCUAAUCCUGGUCGGACAUCAGGAGGUUAGUGCAAUGGCAUAAGCCAGCUUGACUGCGAGCGUGACGGCGCGAGCAGGUGCGAAAGCAGGUCAUAGUGAUCCGGUGGUUCUGAAUGGAAGGGCCAUCGCUCAACGGAUAAAAGGUACUCCGGGGAUAACAGGCUGAUACCGCCCAAGAGUUCAUAUCGACGGCGGUGUUUGGCACCUCGAUGUCGGCUCAUCACAUCCUGGGGCUGAAGUAGGUCCCAAGGGUAUGGCUGUUCGCCAUUUAAAGUGGUACGCGAGCUGGGUUUAGAACGUCGUGAGACAGUUCGGUCCCUAUCUGCCGUGGGCGCUGGAGAACUGAGGGGGGCUGCUCCUAGUACGAGAGGACCGGAGUGGACGCAUCACUGGUGUUCGGGUUGUCAUGCCAAUGGCACUGCCCGGUAGCUAAAUGCGGAAGAGAUAAGUGCUGAAAGCAUCUAAGCACGAAACUUGCCCCGAGAUGAGUUCUCCCUGAGACUUAGAGUCUCCUGAAGGAACGUUGAAGACGACGACGUUGAUAGGCCGGGUGUGUAAGCGCAGCGAUGCGUUGAGCUAACCGGUACUAAUGAACCGUGAGGCUUAACCUU